CAGCAGCCGCGGGAAUACGAAGGGGGCUAGCGUUGUUCGGAAUUACUGGGCGUAAAGCGCACGUAGGCGGAUAUUUAAGUCAGGGGUGAAAUCCCAGAGCUCAACUCUGGAACUGCCUUUGAUACUGUCGAUCUGGAGUAUGGAAGAGGUGAGUGGAAUUCCGAGUGUAGAGGUGAAAUUCGUAGAUAUUCGGAGGAACACCAGUGGCGAAGGCGGCUCACUGGUCCAUUACUGACGCUGAGGUGCGAAAGCGUGGGGAGCAAACAGGAUUAGAUACCCCUGUAGUCCCUGUCUCUUAUAU
rnacentral:rRNA from 1 species